rnacentral:rRNA from 1 species
UACGAAGGGGGCUAGCGUUGUUCGGAAUUACUGGGCGUAAAGCGCACGUAGGCGGAUAUUUAAGUCAGGGGUGAAAUCCCAGAGCUCAACUCUGGAACUGCCUUUGAUACUGGGUAUCUUGAGUAUGGAAGAGGUAAGUGGAAUUGCGAGUGUAGAGGUGAAAUUCGUAGAUAUUCGCAGGAACACCAGUGGCGAAGGCGGCUUACUGGUCCAUACUGACGCUGAGGUGCGAAAGCGUGGGAGCAACAGGG